rnacentral:rRNA from 1 species
CCUACGGGUGGCAGCAGUGAGGAAUAUUGGUCAAUGGCCGGAAGGCUGAACCAGCCAAGCCGCGUGAAGGACGAAGGUGCCAAGCAUUGUAAACUUCUUUUGUCAAGGGACAAAAUCAGGCUCGAGAGCCUGACCGAGGGUACUUGAAGAAAAAGCAUCGGCUAACUCCGUGCCAGCAGCCGCGGUAAUACGUAGGGGGCAAGCGUUAUCCGGAUUUACUGGGUGUAAAGGGAGCGUAGACGGCCAUGCAAGUCUGAUGUGAAAACCCGGGGCUCAACCCCGGGACUGCAUUGGAAACUGUGCGGCUGGAGUGUCGGAGAGGCAAGUGGAAUUCCUAGUGUAGCGGUGAAAUGCGUAGAUAUUAGGAGGAACACCAGUGGCGAAGGCGGCUUGCUGGACGACGACUGACGUUGAGGCUCGAAAGCGUGGGGAGCAAACAGGAUUAGAUACCCCUGUAGUC